rnacentral:rRNA from 1 species
UACAGAGGUCUCAAGCGUUGUUCGGAUUCAUUGGGCGUAAAGGGUGCGUAGGCGGCGCGGUAAGUCGGGUGUGAAAAUCUCGGAGCUUAACUCCGAAAACUGCAUUCGAUACUGCGGUGCUUGAGGACUGGAGAGGAGACUGGAAUUCAUGGUGUAGCAGUGAAAUGCGUAGAGAUCAUGAGGAAGACCAGUGGCGAAGGCGGGUCUCUGGACAGUUCCUGACACUGAGACACGAAGGCCAGGGGGAGCAAAACGGGG